rnacentral:lncRNA from 1 species
GUUUCUCUGAAAGGGAAGAUAAAGUUUGGAUUUUGCCGUUUCACCACUCCAGUGUUGGUGUAGAAACUCCGUUGUCCUGUUUUUGUUUUUGCAGACCUACAGACUCGAAAGAGGAAUUCUCUAUGAGAAGUACCUGCACGCAGAUAUAAGCCCCACCUCGUCUGAGAGGAAGGAUGCAGCCUACAGUGGGAAGGACCUUCUUUUCUGAGAAUCCUUUUGAAAAAUAGUUGCCUGUGUCACAGCAAAAGCAAGAUGGAAGUAUCUAGAAG